UGUGCAAGAUUAUGAUGAUCAAGCUAGAGAAAGCAUGUUAGCCCGUGAUAGAUCCCGAGACCGUGAUAGGGGUAGAAGAGUUGAACAUGUGCAAGAUUAUGAUGAUCAAACUAGAGAAAGCAUGUUAAACCGUGAUAGAUCCCGAGACCUUGAUAGGGAUAGAAGAGUUGAACAUGUGCAAGAUUAUGAUGAUCAAGCUAGAGAAAGCAUGUUAGACCGUGAUAGAUCCCGAGAUCUUGAUAGGGAUAGAAGAGUUGAACAUGUGCAAGAUUAUGAUGAUCAAGCUAGAGAAAGCAUGUUAGACCAUGAUAGAUCCCGAGACCUUGAUAGGGAUAGAAGAGUUGAACAUGUGCAAGAUUAUGAUGAUCAAGC
rnacentral:lncRNA from 1 species